AGCAUUUAUUAGAACAAAACCGACUACGGUAGUGAGGUCGAAAGCUUCACUUUCGUAAGGUGAAUCUAGAUAACUUUGCAGAUCGUAUGGCCUCGAGCCGGCGACAUUUCAAUUGAAUUUCUGCCCUAUCAACUUGUUGGUAAGGUAGUGGCUUACCAAGGUUUCAACGGGUAACGGGGAAUCAGGGUUCGAUUCCGGAGAGGGAGCCUGAGAAAUGGCUACCACAUCCAAGGGCGGCAGCAGGCGCGCAAAUUACCCAAUCCAGAUUCUGGGAGGUGGUGAUGAGAAAUACUAGAUGGUUUCCCUAUGGGAUGCCAUACUGGAAUGGACGUAACUCAAGAAAUUCGAUGAGUAACAACUAGAGGGCAAGUCUGGUGCCAGCAGCCGCGGUAAUUCCAGCUCUAGUAGUGUAUCGUAAAGUUGCUGCGUUUAAAAAGCUCGUAGUUGGAUUACGCAGCAUGAAUUAGUCGAUUGGCGUUGUGGUGCAAAAAAUCUGUGUGCAGAUUUGCCCUUACGUGGUUAAUCCCGGAGGGGUCGGUUUGUGCACAGAGUACCACGCGUCGAUUAACAGCUGGUUCAUGCUACUUGUACGUGAGAAUGGUAGUUGACCUUUAGUGCGUUGACUAUUGUGUCUUACGAGGUGUGCCUUGAAUAAAUCAGAGUGCUCAAAGCAGGCGAAAGCUUGAAUGUUAAUAGCAUGGAACGAACAAUUGUGUUUUUAGCGUUUCAGAUUGGGUUAUUCGUGGGUUUAUAUCUGCGUUUAAUCCGGUUUGGGUCGCAGCACCAACCGCCAAUAACGGAUGUUGGUUUCCGUAU
rnacentral:rRNA from 1 species